AUGCUUACUUCAGCAGCACACAUACUAAAAUUGGAAGGAUACAGAGAUUAGCAUGGCCCCUGCGCAAGGAUGACAUGAAAGUUCGUGAAGCAUUCCAUAUGAAA
rnacentral:snRNA from 1 species